rnacentral:rRNA from 1 species
AGAGCGAACGCUGGCGGCAGGCUUAACACAUGCAAGUCGAGCGGGCGGUAGCGAAUAACGGUCAGCGGCAGACGGGUGAGUAACGCGUGGGAACGUACCUUUUGGUUCGGAACAACCCAGGGAAACUUGGGCUAAUACCGGAUAAGCCCUUACGGGGAAAGAUUUAUCGCCGAAAGAUCGGCCCGCGUCUGAUUAGCUAGUUGGUGGGGUAAUGGCCCACCAAGGCGACGAUCAGUAGCUGGUCUGAGAGGACGAUCAGCCACACUGGGACUGAGACACGGCCCAGACUCCUACGGGAGGCAGCAGUGGGGAAUCUUGCACAAUGGGCGAAAGCCUGAUGCAGCAACGCCGCGUGAGGGACGAAGGCUUUCUGAGUUGUAAACCUCUUUCAGCAGGGACGAUUGUGACGGUACCUGCAGAAGAAGCCCGGCACUACGUGCCAGCAGCGC